rnacentral:rRNA from 1 species
UACGUAGGGUGCAAGCGUUGUCCGGAAUUAUUGGGCGUAAAGAGCUCGUAGGCGGUUUGUCGCGUCUGCUGUGAAAACUCGGGGCUUAACUCCGGGCCUGCAGUGGGUACGGGCAGACUAGAGUGCGGUAGGGGAGACUGGAAUUCCUGGUGUAGCGGUGAAAUGCGCAGAUAUCAGGAGGAACACCGGUGGCGAAGGCGGUCUCUGGGCCGAUG